GGCAGUGUAGCUCAGUUGGUCAGAGCACGCGGCUCAUAUCCGCGGCGUCGGUGGUUCGACUCCACUCACCGCCACCA
rnacentral:tRNA from 1 species